rnacentral:rRNA from 1 species
AUACUGAGGGUGCAAGCGUUAAUCGGAAUUACGGGGCGUAAAGCGCGCGUAGGCGGUUAAAUAGGUCAGAUGUGAAAUCCCUGGGCUCAACCUAGGAACUGCAUCUGAAACUGUUUAACUAGAGUUUUGGAGAGGUAAGUGGAAUUUCCGGUGUAGCGGUGAAAUGCAUAGAGAUCGGAAGGAACACCAGUGGCGAAGGCGACUUACUGGCCAAAAACUGACGCUGAGGUGCGAAAGCGUGGGUAGCGAACAGGAUUAGAAACCCUAGUAGUCC